rnacentral:rRNA from 1 species
UACUCGAGUGGCGAACGGGUGAGUAACACGUGGGUGAUCUGCCCUGCACUUCGGGAUAAGCCUGGGAAACUGGGUCUAAUACCGGAUAGGAGCCAUUCUUAGUGUGAUGGUUGGAAAGUUUUUUCGGUGUAGGAUGAGCUCGCGGCCUAUCAGCUUGUUGGUGGGGUAAUGGCCUACCAAGGCGGCGACGGGUAGCCGGCCUGAGAGGGUGGACGGCCACAUUGGGACUGAGAUACGGCCCAG